UGAAAUAAUUAACUGUUUGCCUCUGACCAUACAGUUUGCUACUUUGUUCCCAAGCCUUUAAAACCAGCCCUGUCAUUUUAAGUGUAAUUAUUUCAUAAUAGAACCAACAAAUUCUUAAAACUUGAAAUUAAGUUGGUUUUAUGUUUAAUAAAAAGAAAAUACUCACCCUUUGCCUUUACUAGAGUAGUUAACUGCUUUUUUAAAAACCACAUAUGCUCUCAAAUACUCUAAUACCUCAGAUCUUGAAAACUAAGUUAGCUAGCAGCCAUCCAAACAGUUUAACUAUUUAGGUCUUUCUAAUUGAAAAGUCACUUAACCAAAUACAAAGUAACACUUUCUCAGAACAAAGUAAAUUAGAUACUGCACUUAAGCAAACCUGGAUACAACAGUGGACAAAGAGAAAAAAAACUUAAGUGGUCAAAAAAGGAAUGGUAGCCACAAAUAAAAAUAUGACCUAGUAUUUCAAUACAGGGUUUCCAUGGGCUAAGGCAGGGAACACAUCUACUUAUUUAAGAGUUGUCAAACAGAAUUACACACACAUUUUCUAUAAAAUUAUUGAAAAGAAAUACUACCACAGAUUUAUUAUUCAUAGUCAUAUUCAA